UACGUAGGGGGCAAGCGUUGUCCGGAAUCAUUGGGCGUAAAGCGCGUGUAGGCGGCUCGAUAAGUCUGCUGUAAAAGUCCAGGGCUCAACCCUGGAAAGCCGGUGGAAACUGUCGAGCUAGAGUCCGGAAGAGGCGAGUGGAAUUCCUGGUGUAGCGGUGAAAUGCGCAGAUAUCAGGAGGAACACCAAUGGCGAAGGCAGCUCGCUGGGACGGUACUGACGCUGAGACGCGAAAGCGUGGGUAGCAAACAGG
rnacentral:rRNA from 1 species